rnacentral:rRNA from 1 species
AGUUCGGAUUGGAGUCUGCAACCCGAACUCCAUGAAGCUGGAUUCGCUAGUAAUCGCGCAUCAGCCACGGCGCGGUGAAUACGUUCCCGGGCCUUGUACACACCGCCCGUCAAGCCAUGGAAGCCGGGGGGUGCCUGAAGUGCGCUGCCGCAAGGAGCGCCCUAGGGUAAAACCGGUGACUGGGGCUAAGUCGUAACAAGGUACC